UACAGAGGUCCCAAGCGUUGUUCGGAUUCACUGGGCGUAAAGGGUGCGUAGGUGGCAGGGUAAGUUCGAUGUGAAAGCUCGGAGCUUAACUCCGAAAUGGCAUUGAAUACUCUCCUGCUCGAGGGUCGGAGGGGAGACUGGAAUUCUCGGUGUAGCAGUGAAAUGCGUAGAUAUCGAGAGGAACACCGGUGGCGAAGGCGAGUCCCUGGACAACUCCUGACACUGAGGCACGAAAGCUAGGGGAGCAAACAGG
rnacentral:rRNA from 1 species